AGACUGGGAGGGACUUGCAGAGGUAUAAUGUUCAUGGUUGUCACCAAGUUGUAAGAGUAUGCACAAGAUUUGGUAUAUCUUCAAUACUGUAAAGAUGUGGCUUUUGCUGAAUUAAUUUCGUCUUGUGAGGGUCAUGAAGAAUAAAGUAUGAUACAGAAACUAUGGGAUUUCUAUCAAAAGAAUAAGGUAUUUCCUUUUACCUCUUUUUCUGUGAUUGUCUCUCAUGUGGUGAAAACCUGCCACCUGCGAUUUUGGCUCUUUUUUCAUCUAAGAUAGAUGAGAGUUCCAAGUUUUAUUGGUAACUGGACAGAACUGACAACAUUGUGAGUAUUGGUGAAGAAUCAUAUGAUAAUAUUUAAUGAUAAGCUAUGGUUUGCAUAUGGUAUCUUGAUUGAGAGAGUUACCAAAUUUGUUGCAGAUACAUGCGUGGCACAUUGCUAGAGCGCAAAUUUGCUUCUAAUUGUCAUAUCUGUGUUGCUUGUUAAUCAUAGCAAAUUAAGUCUUGUUUUUAAGUGUCCUUUAAAUCCCAAUACCUGAACGUUGACAAACGAGCUAAUCCCAUUAAGGGAAAUGAAACUUCAAUUUGAUAGAUGUUUACAUGCAUUGUUCUUGUCAGGCAAAUUUCUCAUUUAAGAGGAGGAAGCUUGCAAUUCCCAAAGUUACAGGGCAUGGAAAAGAUUAAAACAUUGUGCGUAGAAUACACUUAUAUUUUGUCAGAGUUAAUACUUAACACCUGAUUUGGUCCCACGACAAUGCUGAUUUUACUGACCUAGUCCUCAACAUCCAAUUGUACACAAUUAAAUCCCUGACUAUGCAAUUGUUACCCAGUAUUGUCCUCAGUUAAAUCUCCUGUUUGUUGACUGUCAAAAGUGAGGGCAAAAUAUAAUUUUACCAAUCUUUACAUGCAGGGGCUCGAACCUUGUUUUUUGCAACCUCUUCACUGAUUCCUUCAAGUCACCUUUGGUGAAUAUCAGUCCAACAUUACCACAAAACGAGGGAUGGGAUUGAGAAUGGCAUUGUUCCCAUCUUCUCAGCAUGAACUGAUGAAUACAAAUGCUUCUCUUAAUCAUGGUGUUUUUGCCCAUCAAUACCCCUCAAACCCUUUCUUAUGUUCUAAAGCUAAUUAUUUCCUAUCAAAAUCUGGGGGUGUACAGUGUACUUGUCUAGCCAUAUGCAAUAUUUUCUUAGCCUUAGUUUGUUUUACCACCAUUGAAGGAUCUAAGGUAAUUCAACUAUGACUUCACAGGAAAAUAAGAAUUUGAGCAAAAUUUAUGGCUAAGGCAGUCACUUUAGAAGCUCCUCCGUCAAGGCAGACAGAAGCGGUGCCAUCACUUUAACGGUUUAACUUAGAGCUUAAGAUGAAAGGGAAAAAGGAGAAGCAAAAAUGGCCUAUCCCCAUAGCUAAAACUGUGUAGCGUAGCGAGUAGAAAAGCUUCUAGUUCUUUAUUCUAAUCAGUUCAUUGAUAUAAUCUUUCCUGUUUCCAGCGUCUUUUCCUUGCAUGUAGUUGUUUCUUUUCUUCUUAAGACCAACCAGUGGAGCUUUGAGUUUAAAUGCCCAAAGGAAAUUGUUAGCUUCCUGGAAAUGUUGUCCAAAACAGUGAUGAUAUCAUCCUCCAUUAUACAUGAGUGCCUCCAUGCUAAGCUAAAGAAGAUCGCCUGUGGGGGUUUCUUAUAACAUGUAGUCAUGUAGGGUUACUAUUUCAAUAAUACCCUUGAAAAUUAACAGGAAUAAACACAGAGGACAAUGAAAUCAACAUUGUCGGGACCAAAUCGGGUAUUAGCUCAUUUUGUAACUAGAAAUCAAAUCUUCUCUUUGAUGCUUAUGUAGUUUAAAGCACUUUCCAAAUCAGAGUUAUGAGAAAUUGCUCUAUUUCUAGUCCAAUCCCAGAAUACAUGGGAGAUAUGCCGAAUUAAAAACUUUGUGAUUUUUCUUUUAAAAUCCUUUUUGUUGCUUGGUGGCAUCUCACAUUUAGUUUUGUUAAUAUCAGUUAACUUAAAGCACCCUAUUAUGCUGUUUAUCACUCAUAUUCUGUCGUUUCAUUUCUCUAACAUUGCAGGGGAAAAUCCCUCCAAGAUCAAAGUCCCUUAUAGGUGCUCUGAUAUUGCACAUUACAAAUAAGUUUGCCAUCUGCAAUAAUUUGGUUUUGAUGGUAUUUACUUUAUCUUCAAAAGUUGAGUGGUAAAACCCCAAUUGUAAAGAGCAAGAAAAUUGAAUGUGCAAGUACAUCACCCAUGAAUGCUUAA